UACGGGGGGGGCAAGCGUUGUUCGGAAUUACUGGGCGUAAAGGGCUCGUAGGUGGCCAACUAAGUCGGACGUGAAAUCCCUCAGCUUAACUGGGGAACUGCGUCCGAUACUGGAUGGCUUGAGUUUGGGAGAGGGAUGCGGAAUUCCAGGUGUAGCGGUGAAAUGCGUAGAUAUCUGGAGGAAUACCGGUGGCGAAGGCGGCAUCCUGGACCGGCAUUGACGCUGAUGAGCGAAAGCUAGGGGAGCAAACGGG
rnacentral:rRNA from 1 species